GUUCACAUAUAUAUUGUUGUUAUUUUCAAAUUUUAAAAAGUUUAAAGGGGAACAGAAAAGAAACAUUAAGCUAAAUGUGUCAAUGAGCUUAAGCAAUGCUCAGUUUAGAAACCUUUCAUGGGCUUCAAGGAUUUUUAAUUGAACCUUUCCCUUUGGAGUAAUCUAAUCUAGGUAAAGUUGAUUAAAAAAUAAAAAUAGGGCUAUGUAAUAAAAAUAAAUCCUUAAAACCUGAGGUUCUCGGGAACUCUCUCCCAUACAUCUGCUCCUCAGCUCAACCAGCUGAGGACUCCUCAUGUAUAAAUAUGUGAGGGGGAGUCAUAGGAAAGAGGGAGCAAGCUUGUUUUCUGCUUCCCUGGAGGCUAGGACGCAGAGCAAUGGCUUCAAACUACAGGAAAGGAGGUUCCACCUGACAUGAAGAAGAACUUCCUGAUUGUGAGAGCUGUUCAAUAGUGGAACUCUCUUCCUACGAGUGUGGUGGAGGCUCCUUUGGAGGCUUUUAAACAGAGGCUGAAUGGCCAUUUGUCGGGAGUGCUUUGAUGGGCGAGUGGGCUUAAUAACAAAAGACACUCCCCAUAAAUGUACAGCAGAGCAACUCAGCAGCAUGAGUGUGAUCCAACGCCAAUAGCCCAAAGUGAUAAAAGAACAAAAAGACACAGACCAAUGUUAUAUCUUCCAUAGGAGGCUUUUCUUUGUAGUAGAAUAAUAUAGUUGCACAAUUUACAAUAACCAGGUUUCCACAACCCGAAUAAACAAAUACAUAGUAGAUUUAUACACACAGCAGCCUCUAAACACUGGAGCUCCCCAUAUCAGGCUUUAUUCUCAUACAGAAGUUUUCCUCACACUGACAAGCCUCCUCUCACAGAUGCCUCAUCACACAGACUGAGAAGUUCCCUCCCUCAGGCAAAACUAACAAUAACAGGCUUUGGCCUACUCACUCUCCUCAGGGCAACCCUGGCUUUGGCCCACUAACUCUUUCAGUGUUUGAUUCACACUUUUGUAAUCAAAAAUAUUCAGUUAAUAUUUAGUACUUCUGACAUGCUUUGAAUGCAAUUUUCCUGCUUCUUGGCAGGGGAUUGGACUGGAUGGCCCACAGGGUCUCUUCCAACUAUGAUUCUAUGAUUCCAUGUCUCGGGCACAAAGAUUCUAGAGUCCAUGAAGAUCUUGAAAAGUUUAUUAUGUCUCUAAGACAGAACCACCUGGAGGAGGAGGAGGAUGAUGACGAUUUUCAUGAAUCAAGAGGCACUGGUGCCUCUCCCCUCCUCCCCAAAAAAGUAUUCCCAGUUGCUUCUAAAGUAAACUGAAGAGCUCUACACAUUUUAACGCAGGUAAAAAGAAAAUGUGUUACUAGCUUGUGACACAAUCCCAUGACAUUUCCAAAAUGUAUGACUGUUGCUGUGAUAAAGAAGGGCCUUAGUUUCACUGACUGAAAGGUCCCUGCUUUUAAGAUGCUGCAGCAUUCUACAUGAAAAUCAAAUGUAAUAAGUGUGCUCUGGGAAUGUAUAACUUUGGAAAAUACACUUAAAUACAUUAUAGGCGUAACUGAAAGAGUAUUGUCGUAUUUUAUUGACAUUGUGUUUUGUUCCAUUUUUGAAAAAGACUUCCAAGAGAAGAACUGCAUUUCUCAGUAAGGGUAGAGAGGUGAGGAACAAACAUGAUCAGUCAGCAUUUACUGAUUGGGAAGGGGUUGUGUUCAUAUUCCAGCCAAACGCAAGGUUGCACCCUCACUUCUUAAAACCCUCCUACCAGACAUACUUGUUCAUGUCCAGCGUAAUUCCCAUCUGUGCUGGAAUUGCACUAGAUCCAGAUCCCUUUGUUUGGCUUUCUCGCCCAUAGUUUUAGAGCAGUUACUGUUAUGUUAGUUUUUAUGAGGGUGGAGCUUAGGAAAACCCUUUCUGGUUUGUGUCAGCCAUUUUGUUAGUCCUUUUGUCUGAGAAAAAGGGAGCCAUUUUGUGUCAGUUAGUUGGCCACAUCCCCUUUUGCCUGAGGAAAAAAGAGCCGUUUGUGACAGUUGGUUGGCCACGCCCCUUUUCUGAGGUAAAGGAGACAUUUUAUAGUAUAGACCACCAGAGAAUUCUUGAGAUAGGGUGUGUCUUCAGUCAGUCCCAGAGAUUCAGGCUUGCACAGUCAUUUGAAAUCAAUUUAACAUAACCAGUUGUGCUUACCAUCAAUAACUAUAAACAGUAGUUUUAACAUAAUCAGUUGUGCUUACCAUUAAUAACUACAAGCAGUAUUUUGAACAUAACCAGUUAUCAUCAACUAGCUACUACAUAACCCGUACUUCCA